UUGAACGCUGGCGGCAUGCUUUACACAUGCAAGUCGAACGGUAACAGGUUAAGCUGACGAGUGGCGAACGGGUGAGUAAUGCAUCGGAACGUGCCCGAUCGUGGGGGAUAACGCAGCGAAAGCUGCGCUAAUACCGCAUACGAUCUGAGGAUGAAAGCGGGGGACCGUAAGGCCUCGCGCGAUCGGAGCGGCCGAUGUCGGAUUAGCUAGUUGGUGAGGUAAAGGCUCACCAAGGCGACGAUCCGUAGCUGGUCUGAGAGGACGACCAGCCACACUGGAACUGAGACACGGUCCAGACUCCUACGGGAGGCAGCAGUGGGGAAUUUUGGACAAUGGGGGAAACCCUGAUCCAGCCAUUCCGCGUGAGUGAAGAAGGCCUUCGGGUUGUAAAGCUCUUUCGGCAGGAACGAAACGGUAAGGGCUAAUAUCCUUUGCUAAUGACGGUACCUGAAGAAGAAGCACCGGCUAACUACGU
rnacentral:rRNA from 1 species